UUUUUCUUGCAUUUGCGGAUGUGUGGGUGAUUCGAUGCUUUCAGCAAUAUAGUGUAGGUUUCACCUAACGCUUCACGGGCUGUUCGUGAGAAGGUGAUUAUGAAAAAUGAAAAGUGAAAGACAAAAAUCAAGAUUUUUAUUCGUGUCUCAGUUAAAAACAUUUUUAUCUUUGGUUUGCAAAGGAAUGUCAUUGUUGCAAUGACAGGUGGUUAAGAGAUUAACAUUCCCUGCACAUCACCACCUGUCAUGAAUUACCACAGUGCCAUGAGACACUUCCUCAUACCAAAUCAUUCAGUGAAUAGAAAGCAGAUAAAAUGUGUGUGAGUCAAAGUGAGGCUGUGUUUGGAGGUGUUUGCGCAGAGAGAUGAACACAUUUACCAUGUCUCUCUCUUUGCUACUGCUGCUGCUGGUUUGCAGCACGCAAGCUACUCAUUUUUAUGGGACAGUGAUGACCUAUUACCCAGGAGACACUUAUGCAGAUGGAUCAGUUAUGGCGAAUAUUCAAUACAAGCUGAACUUCCACGACUGCACAAAUGGUGACACAUGGAGUUGCCUCCGUGGUGACUGUUUGCUCUGGGAACAACACACUACAUGAGGUAAAACAGGAAAGCAGUGGAGAGUGGUGUCAGAGAGAGGGAAUCAUGACUCGACGGGCUCCCAGCAAUGCUCCGUUCGAGCUUUGGUUGGAUAGUGGUAACUGGAUUAAUGGCAUUGUAAAUGGCAUUGUAUCAUGGAGAGCUGUGACUCUAGUGGAACUGAGGAACAGAUCUGACACCGGCAAAGCCAACUCGUCACCCCAGACCACCAUCAUACCUGCUGUAAGAGUUCCCUCAAACUGUCAGAGAAAUUUCGUCUUGUUGGCGUUCGACCCUGAUGGAGAUGUGGUUAAGUGCAGAAAUGGAGAUGCAUUACUGUCAGAGUGUAAUCCAUGCACUCCACCAUCUGUCCUCAGCCUUUCACCAUCUUGUACUCUGUCCUUCCGCCCCACUGAUAGCAGUAAUGAAGGUCCAUAUGCAGUACAGCUGGUGAUGGAGGACUUUCCCCUGCAUAACAUAACCCUGACUCAAACCAAUGGGACACAGACUAAUCUAACUACCAAUAAUGCAAUCAGCAAAAUACCGGUCCAGUUUGUUAUAAGGGUGGAUCCUGCAGUGCCAUCCUGCACAGACGGACUAUAUCUGCCCAAGUUCCUGCCUCCAACUCCAGCCAACGGAGCUCAGCUAUAUACCCCUGUUGGACAAACUCUAGAAAUCAGCAUCAAAGCAGAGGCAACAAAUACCAUGAUCUCUGAGCUGCUCUACAGUGGGCCCUACACUAUAUUUCAAAAUAAAACAGGACCAGAAGAGUUCAUCCUCAUGUGGACGCCAUCUGAGAGCGAAGCGGGAGAAAGCCACCCCAUCUGUUUUGUUGUCCAGGCAGUUUCUGGAUGCAUUCAUAAACUUUAAUGCUGGAAAGCCUGACUGUGCCUUAAUGUGCCACGUUUGUAAGGACGUAAGUAAGUCAAGUAUGUGAAUUACACCCAUGUUUAUGGAAAAAAAACCCACUAACGGGAAUCAGUGGACAUAGACAAUAACAGUGGUACUGAGUUCUCAGUUCUUCAGUUCCUAGCAACAUAAUUAAAUAAAUAAACCAAAACAAUAAAUAAAUAAAAUACAUUUUAAACAGGAAAACAAAAGAAAGACCUAGCAAAAAAAAGUAGAUGUGCAUAAUUCCAGUUUAGUACUAUAAAACAGAGAAAGCCUCACUUACAUCCAUAAAUAAAAUACUGUGUUGCGUGCUUGCAAGGUUGUGUGAUCACAUGUACACUUUAUAUGCUGCUUUAAACAGGAAUUUUAAAAUAUAUAAAACAUAUUUUUACCACAUAAAACUAAUGGGGCUGAUUUACUUUUUACAGUAUAGCGAAGUAUCACUCUGACUUUCGAUGCGUCAUUGUGACUGUUGAAGAGGUUUAUGUCGCUGCCCUGAGUGCGAGGAUCUCUUUCUCAUUGCCUUUUACUGCAGACAACGUUAACAGUGUCAUCAUACAGAAGAUUAAAGAAGAACUGGAGAAACGAGGUCUGCCGCCAGAUGCGAGUCUACGCCUAGUGAGAGGAGACCAAGUAUAAAAAAACAACCACAGCGCCCUCUCACUGCACAUGAGUGCACAGCUCAAUAGCCUGAGAGUGUUUCUCCUGGGUGUUAUAAUGUGACACUUCUCAGGGUGAUUAUGUUUAUUAUCUGCACUCUGUUCAGAAAAAUAAAUACCAGAUUAUGAGCAUAUCUGGCAUUUGAGUCUGUAACUUUGUUUUAAUAACAGAUGUAAACUGAUCAGACUUGUACCUGAAAUGUUUUUCUCCGGUUUUUAAAAUGUAAUUUUUUAAAGAAUAUUUUUUAUUGUAUCGCAUUGGUUUCAGCUGAUUAUGUGUUGCAUGUGUAUAUCUGGUGGAUUUCAUAUAUAAGUAACUGCACUUUGCAGCAUCUUUCUCUAAUUUCUUUAAUCACCGUGAGGCUCUCUUCUGCAUCUGAAAUGAAUUAAACUGGGCCUUGAGGAUUCAGUGUUACAAUAACUGAUGUUAAGAUGCUCACAGUGAAUUCUGAGUAAAUAUCCAUCAUUACGAGUUAUCCAGUUCAGGGUUGUGUGAGAGCUGGAGAACAAUCUGUCAGUGAAUAAGAGGCAGAGUAAACCCUGGAUUGGUAGCCGCUCCAUCACACAAAAAGACACACCUAUAGCUAACUUGGAAUCACCAAUAAACCGAGCAUGUGCGUUUAUGGACUGUGGGAGGAAGCCUGAGUACAUGAACUCGAGGCAGGCACAGGGAGAGUAUGCCUAACUCAACAUAGGAGCUGACUCUAUCUCUGUGGAGCACUGCAAAAGAACUUCUGGUGGAGGUGUUGAAGAAGUUGCUGUUCUUUAGCUGUAUUAAGUAUUUAAUAAUGAGGCAUUUAAAACAUUUAGUUAGACAAUUAAACAUCUGCAAAGAAUUCAAAAUGACUAAAAGAAAUAUGAACAUAAAUAAACACAAAAGACAAAGUGAAGAAAGUGUCGUGGUCCCAGGUCAUGUGACCCAGUGUUUUGUGUUGUUGUAUUUUUAUGUCAUUUUGUCUUAUAGUUUAUGGCUAAGUUCAUUUGGUUUGUCUUGAGUUCGUUCCUACAUUGCCUAAAUUGUUCUGUUUAGUUCAUUGAUUAUUUAGUAAUUUCCCCUUGUGUCUUUGCCUUCUGUGUGUCUUUGUUUAAAUCGGUUGUGUGAGUUCUUGUGACUUGUUCCUCUCCUCGUGUUUCAUCCAUUUUUUCAGAGUCUCUCUCUGUCCCCCUCAUGUUCCUUUGUGUUCCCUUGCUCCCUCUCCUCUGCCUUUCCUCUAUUCGUGUGUCAUGUUCCUCAGUUUCCUAUACUGUGAAAGUCCGGUGUUUCCAUGUUUGGUAUGCUUCCCCUGUGACAUCAUGUUUAUUCGUGUCAGUGUGUUCCCCGUGUGUUCUCACUUCCUCAUUAUCCUUCUGUGUUUUUAUGUCAGCUUCUCCCUUGGUCCUGUGUUGCGAUCUCCCUUAUUUUUGUGCGUUUCCCUGUGUGCCUCUUUGUGUCCUUUGUUCAUAUACAUUUCCAGUUUAGUUUGUAUUUCCUUUGGUCUGGCAAUAAAGCUCUGUUUGAGUUACUUUUGCCUCCGUGAGUCUGCAUUUGGGACCUUUCCCGCCUGCUGCACAGCCAAAUUCAUGACACAAAGACCAAAAACACUACAAACGUUGCACACUUCAACACAAAGAAACUUCCAGGUGCACAUAGGUUUAUAAUCCCUCAGCAC